GAUGAACGCUAGCGGCAGGCCUAACACAUGCAAGUCGAGGGGUAGAAGUCUUCGGACUUUGAGACCGGCGCACGGGUGCGUAACGCGUAUGCAAUCUGCCUUACACUAAGGGAUAGCCCAGAGAAAUUUGGACUAAUACCUUAUAGUAUGUAGAAGGGACAUCCCUUUCACAUUAAAGAUUUAUCGGUGUAAGAUGAGCA
rnacentral:rRNA from 1 species